rnacentral:rRNA from 1 species
CCUAGAGAACGCUGGCUAAGGAACUCGGCAAAAUAGCACCGUAACUUCGGGAGAAGGUGUGCCCGCCGACGUGAUGGAACUUGCUUCCUGAGCGUUGGCGGGUCGCAGUGAAAUGGGGGUUGCGACUGUUUACUAAAAACACAGGACUGUGCGAACUCGUAAGAGGACGUAUACGGUCUGACGCCUGCCCGGUGCUGGAAGGUUAAGGGGAGAGGUUAGCGCAAGCGAAGCUUCGAACCGAAGCCCCAGUAAACGGCGGCCGUAACGAUAACGGUCCUAAGGUAGCAAAAUUCCUUGUCGGGUAAGUUCCGACCUGCACGAGGGCGUAACGACAUCCCUACUGUCUCGGCCAGCGACUCAGCGAAAUUGUAUCGGGGGUGAAGAUACCCUCUACCCGCGGCAAGACGGAAAGACCCCAUGAACCUUUACUGCAACUUGGCAGUGAGGUUCGGAACAGUCUGCGUAGGAUAGGUAGGAGGCUUUGAAGUCGGGAUUCCGGUCUCGAUGGAGCCGUCGUUGAAAUACUACCCUGGCUUUUCUGGACUUCUAACCUAGGCCCCUCAACGGGGUCGGGGACACUGCCUGGUGGGCAGUUUGACUGGGGCGGUCGCCUCCCAAACAGUAACGGAGGCGCGCGAAGGUACCCUCAGGCUGAUUGGAAACCAGCCGGCGAGUGCAAUGGCACAAGGGUGCUUAACUGUGAGAGGGACACCUCGAGCAGGUGCGAAAGCAGGCCAUAGUGAUCCGGUGGUCCCGCAUGGAAGGGCCAUCGCUCAUCGGACAAAAGGUACUCUGGGGAUAACAGGCUGAUCGCGCCUGAGAGUCCAUAUCGGCGGCGCGGUUUGGCACCUCGAUGUCGGCUCAUCGCAUCCUGGGGCUGGAGCAGGUCCCAAGGGUUUGGCUGUUCGCCAAUUAAAGCGGUACGCGAGCUGGGUUUAGAACGUCGUGAGACAGUUCGGUCCCUAUCUGCCGUGGGCGCAGGAUACUUGAGAGGAGCUGUUCAUAGUACGAGAGGACCUGAACAGACGCACCUCUAGUGUUCCGGUUGUCAUGCCAAUGGCAUAGCCGGGUAGCUAUGUGCGGAACGGAUAACCGCUGAAAGCAUCUAAGCGGGAAGCCGGCCUCAAGACAAGGUAUCCCGGGGCAUAAGCCCCCUGAAGGCCCCUUGAAGACUACAAGGUGAUAGGCGGGAGGUAGAAGCGCAGCGAUGCGCGGAGCUGACCCGUACUAAUAGGCCGUGCGGCUUGACGU